UCUCUUUCACCACAAAAGAUACCAUCAUCAUGAUCAUGAAGGUGGUUUUCCCAAGGUGAGGCUCAUCCAUUGUACCCUGGGUGUGCUGACCCCUGCAAUUUCCUCAAAUGUGGGAAACUCAACUGAUUAAUUUGUGGUAGUGGGGAACUGUGUAUGCCCUUUCCCCUG
rnacentral:snRNA from 1 species